AUACGUAGGGUGCGAGCGUUGUCCGGAAUUACUGGGCGUAAAGAGCUCGUAGGUGGUUUGUCGCGUCGUCUGUGAAAUUCCGGGGCUUAACUCCGGCGUGCAGGCGAUACGGGCAUAACUUGAGUACUGUAGGGGAGACUGGAAUUCCUGGUGUAGCGGUGAAAUGCGCAGAUAUCAGGAGGAAACCCGGUGGCGAAGGCGGGUCUCUGGGCAGUAACUGUCGCUGAGGAGCGAAAGCAUGGGUAGCGAACAGGAUUAGAUACCCUGGUAGUCCAUGCCGUAAACGGUGGGCGCUAGGUGUAGGGGUCUUCCACGACUUCUGUGCCGUAGCUAACGCAUUAAGCGCCCCGCCUGGGGAGUACGGCCGCAAGGCUAAAACUCAAAUGAAUUGACGGGG
rnacentral:rRNA from 1 species